AGAGUUUGAUCAUGGCUCAGAACGUACGCUGGCGGCACGCCUAAUACAUGCAAGUCGAACGAGGUAGCAAUACCUAGUGGCAGACGGGUGAGUAACAUGUGGGUACCUUCCCUUUGGUGAGGAAUAACACGAGGAAACUUGUGCUAAUACCUCAUAAGUCUUUACGGAGAAAGCUUUAUGCGCCAAUGGAUGGGCCCGCACUUGAUUAGUUAGUUGGUAAGGUAAUGGCUUACCAAGACUUUGAUCAAUAGCUGAUUUGAGAGGAUGAUCAGCCACAUUGGGACUGAGACACGGCCCAAACUCCUACGGGAGGCAGCAGUAGGGAAUCUUGCACAAUGGAGGAAACUCUGAUGCAGCGAUGCCGCGUGAGUGAAGAAGGCCCUUGGGUUGUAAAGCUCUUUCGUCGGGGAAGAAAAUGACUGUACCCGAAUAAGAAGGUCCGGCUAACUUCGUGCCAGCAGCCGCGGUAAUACGAAGGGACCUAGCGUAGUUCGGAAUUACUGGGCUUAAAGAGUUCGUAGGUGGUUAAAAAAGUUGGUGGUGAAAUCCCAGAGCUUAACUCUGGAACUGCCAUCAAAACUUUUUAGCUAGAGUGUGAUAGAGGAAAGCAGAAUUUCUAGUGUAGAGGUGAAAUUCGUAGAUAUUAGAAAGAAUACCGAUUGCGAAGGCAGCUUUCUGGAUCAUUACUGACGCUGAGGAACGAAAGCAUGGGUAGCGAAGAGGAUUAGAUACCCUCGUAGUCCAUGCUGUAAACGAUGUGUGUUAGAUGUUGGAAAUUUAUUUUCAGUAUCGCAGUGAAAACGUUAAACACACCGCCU
rnacentral:rRNA from 1 species